rnacentral:lncRNA from 1 species
AGUGGAGGUUUUAUAUUAGACCCUAAAGCACCAAAUGCAAAGACAUUACAAAAAACGCCAGCAGGUGAGAAGUCUUCAACAGCUAAGGUGGUUAAAAACUUUAUACCCAUUCGUCCAAAACCCGCUAACCUUAAUGACAAGGGUACAACAGUAACCUUGAUCAAGUCAGGACAAACUCCAGUUGCCAAAAAAGGUGUACCAAGUGAAAUAGCGAAAGAAAUUGUUCGUAAACUGAAUGCUGAUUCAGUUCCCUCAAUUUUGAAAAGAAAAUUGCAAAAGCAAAGUGACGAAGGUGCUCAAGGAGACUCAACGUCAAGCAGCUCAACUCCUGCCAGAAAGCAAAGACUGUGCCCCCCAAAAAACCAACCAGGAAACAUCGGAAGGUCUUCGACUAUGAAUCCUACCUAAGAGAUCAUUUGGAGGCAGAGGUGAAAGACAAGAGACCAAAGAGCAUCCGUUCAGAAACUCUUACGCGGUCUUCACUAGUUGGAAUCAACGUCGCCCCAUCAAAAAUUAAAGUUGUUCCCUUUAACAUUCAAGCAAAGUCCACUCUUCUAAGGAAGAGCAAUGAAAAUGAUACAAACAAUGUUGUUCGAUCUGGAGAACGAACAUUGUAUGACUUGAUGCAGGAUGUGUCGCGCUUACUGCCAAGCUGGAAUUUGCAUGUCUUACCAGAUUCCAACUCUUUUUGCAUAGCGCAAGUUUGCCGCGGAAGGUCUGGAAUCCCAACAUUGAAAACCAGCAUCGAAUUGGAUGAGGAAUUUAAUGCCAAAGUGUUCAUCCACCAGUUGCAUUGUAAACGUUAUGAUGGCAUAUAUGACAGCGAAGAAAGUAUAUGUGCACUAAUUCAAGAGAUAGACACCCUAUCAAAGUGAAAGGGUAUUGUAAAAUGUUUUCAUAUUUAGGACGUUGAUAUGACAAUGAAGCCUUGUUGCAGAAUCGCCCCCAUCAAGAAGAAAAUAAGGAGGAGAAGAAGAAUACUAAAGAAAUGGAUAUUUACAUGGUGCCAUUUUGCACAGAGCUUCAAAUUAUUUUUCAUAGAAUGUUACAAUCUCAGUAUGCUUGGGAGGUCAGAAAUUGAAGUAAAAUUCAAAUUAAUUGUUCAGAGUCCUUUCAGGGUAGAAGAUUCUCACACUUGGAAUUCCUCUACUCUGAAACAAUUUCAGAAACGCCUAUGAAACCUCUCGUUGAUUUAAAACGACACAAAAUUCCUGUUCGAGUAGUAGGAGUCAGAUGUAUUUUGUUGUAUAUGUACAGGUGCUUGCUCGCCGAGUUCACAACAAAAAAUAUUCAACCUUCUCUUCUCCGAGGAGUGUGAUUCUCAGAAAAUGCUGUGCAGUGCCUCUAUUUUAACUGUCUCUCGCCCGUCUCUACUUUCUCUUCAGUUCAUCUCGUUUUGGAUCCCAAGCUUAGAAUAAAACAUGGCACGGUAUUCCUCUAGUGGCAAAUGGAGGGACGAGAGGGUUAUGAAAGAGGCCGAACAUAAAAUUUUUGACUGAAACUGCAAAUUAUGAUGUUAAUUUUUUCACAUUUUAUAUUAAAGGGGGGUUCGUAGAGAAUAUUGUACGAGAAAACCAAUGGAACCCCUUAAAAACCAUUACAUUUUGUAUUAAAGAAGAUACAAGUUUUUAAACUUUCUAAAUCACGUCCAACCUCUUUUAUCGACUCACUACACUGUGAAUCUCCGUAGCUCCACACUGAAAUUGCGUUAGCCUUCGAUUCGAUGUUUAUGCAAUUUGAGUUACCUACGCUAAAAUUUUAUCAUAGCGCGGACUAAGGACCUUCUUUACCAAAUGUUGUUUCGUUAGCGUCCUGGUACAGGGUCGGAUUAAGGGGGUGGCCACAUGGAUCGUCGCGGCCCAUGGCGGUAAAAUGUAGGGGGCGGCAAAUUUUGCAAUCUUUUUGAAUGUAGGUAUCAAAAAAAAAGAAGAAAAAAUCGGAUUCAGAAAAUAAAUUACGAACGAGAAAGGGCGACAAAAUCUCUCAUUUCCUGAGAGUAAGAGUAAAGUAAUUUCUAAUUUUGUGGUCUUUCGAUGACACUAAAGACAACACAUUUAAUUAGUUGAGUUGAGAGAGAAACAAAACACGCAAUUUGACCUUGAGCGGAGCGGCGCGGCGCAGAGAGCAAUGAUGACGAGGACUGAGAUAAAAAGGAGAAGCCCUCGGCACGGCGCGCGGCGGUCGGCAUGAAACGCAUAGCGCCUUCAAGACUGCAUGACUUCAAGACUUCACGCAUUUCGUCAAACACACUGCGGUCAGCAGCGGUCGGCGUGUAACGCAUAGCGCCUAGCAGUCGGCUUGAAACGCACAGCGCCUACAAGACUGCAUGAAUACUUCACGCAUUGCGUCAAACAGUGCAGUCAGCAACGGUCGCGUCGGCGUGAAACGCAUAGCGCCUACAAGACUUCAUGAAUACUUCACGCAUUUCGCCAAACACAGUGCGAUCGGCGCAGCGGCGGAAGUAAAAUAAUUUAACCACAUUUAUGUUUGUUCUUUCAUAAUUUUUCGUUCGUUUGUUAUAAAUGGAAGGCCUUGUCCAAACAGGGAUGGGUUUACGGAACUUAACUUUCUCGUAAGUUCCGUGAACUUUUGUUAGAGUUGACAGGGAUUUCACAAGAAAUGUGCCCAAUACGAGUAAACGCGUCUCAUACACCCCUCCCCACCGGCACGUUCACUUAACGAAUGAUAAGGGGGCGGAAAAAUACGAGCAGCCCAUGGGCGGCAAAGUAGGUAAAUCCGGCCCUGUCCUAGUAAAUAGCUUCUCUCCUUAUAUUAGAAUGUGCAUGCCUAAAAAAACCCCUCAACAGGACCUUAAAAAGUUCUUUCUCCCCAAACAAGAAUAAAAGGUAUCUUGUCUCUUGUUGUUACUCUCUCGCUAAGACCAGCUCGCCUCCAAUAUUUCGUUAGGCAAUGUGAGCGGCUUGAGAGUAGUAAAAACGGCUUCAAGCAGUUUUGUCAUGUUUGUUCAGUGGUAUCAUGCAUAAAAAGCGGGCGAGUUUCACCAGCUUUUUACGAUGUUCAGCACUCAUUCUGGUAUAGUUUCGUUGAUGAUUAGUCUAGAUAAUUCAAGAGGCCGUGAAUAAAAGCGGCAUCGCAAUAAAAUUAUGAUGCAAUUUUCUCAGCAUUGUCAAUUGCCUGUCUUUCUAAUACAUGCACCUAACCCAUCUUAUUGAUUACCUAUUGUUUGAGCUCGGCAUUUAUUGCCAAAAUUAUGUACCUAGUAAUAUUGUAAUUUAUGGUAAAAUAAUGCAAUAUUUUAACGCAAUAUUUUCAUUUGCUUUGAUCUACUCGGGUCAGGAGUCUAGGGUCCAUCCCUUAAAUCUCGCUCCUUCGCUUGACUUUUACAAUAUGUUAAAUGAAAACCCGGUGGGAUAGCUUACUCUGACAAGAUUUGAGGGUGGAGGCUUCGGUAAGGUUUGGGGGUGGAGAGCCUCUUAGAAUUUGGGGAGAGGGGAAAGGCCUUGUAAAGUUUGGGGGGGGGCGUCCAGUAAAUUUGAAGAGGAAGUUUUACACAACUUGAAGGGGGGAGCUUUUGUCAAACGAAGUUUCGGUCAAAGAAACCGAAUUUUGGUCAGAGAUGGGCGACCGUUCGGUUUCUGUAACAGAUACAUUUGGUUACUUGAACUUAUAAUAAGGGAGGUAUUUUUAGGCCCAAGAAUUGAUAGGCAUUAUAGUUAAGGGGACUUUUGGAAGCUCAAGCCACUGUUUCAUUGCAAGUGACAGCCUUCAUGUCAGAUUCUAACUCCUUUUUGGACAUCUCGUCGUUUUUGAUUGGCCUUAAGUUCCUAUAUUUGUACCGCACCGACAAUAAUAUGAGCAGCAUAACGUCCAGAAGCAUGAGGCCAGCAUAAAAUAAGAAUUCGAGGGACUGAAACAAAAAACAAAUCUCUCCAUCAUUGCAUUGCAUGCGAAGUCUUAAGACUUUGGUUAAAAUGCUUAUUUCGAUGGUGAAACUCCCAAACUAG